ACCACUGACUUACAGGCCAUCUCACACAGGGAGUAAUUGGAUUUGAUUGAAAAAAUAGACAUUUGUUGGCUCCAGUGCUCUGAGGCGGCACAUGUUAUUAAGAUCAAGGCUGUGUGUGUGCAUGAGUGUGUGUAUGUGAGUCUGCACUGGCUUCUGAUGACUUGGUGAUUGGAAGGUCAUGAGAAGGAUACACCAUGGGAAUCAUGAAUAUUUAUUAAAUAUCAGCUGCUUCAAAGACACGGCAAAAUACCACAGCUGGGUAUAGAUAACAGUGGGCAAAGUGGGGAGGUUAUCUUUCCAUAUCAAUGAUCUAAUACAUACUGUGAAUUCUGACUUACAAUAUAAUAGAAAUUGUAUUAUUUCUGUGACCAGAAUAAAAAAAAAACUUUGAUUUAUUCCUUUUCCUGAAAUGCAGGUACACAGUUAUUGGACAAAAAAAGGAUGUGUGUGCACAGUAACAGCAAUUUGUGGCAUCAGCACUCCUAAGAAUCUGACUGGCCAGUAUUGUUGCCCUGUAUGGGACUCAUGUUAAAAGCAACUAUUUGCCUGUGCUGCAACUACAGAUUGUUUAAACAUAAAAAUAAACAUAAGACUUGGUUUCUGAUGCAGCAUUAUAAAACCCUUUGAUGGCAGAUGUCACACUGAAAAUGCUGACUCAGCUUAUUUUUCAGUCAGGCAAAAAGGUGGUGUUUUUGACCUUUAACCUCCAAACAAACAGGUACAACACGCCCACCUGUCAGCUUAUAUACCAUUUCCAUCGCCUCACAGUGUAACUUGUUUAUCCUGCCCCGAACAUUUGUAGAAGCCAUGAGUGAUAUGAGGUGCCUGGAUAUUGUUUACUCUCAAGUGACUUCUCCUCAAGGUCCAUGGGUUGUUUCGUCACACUAAUACCCCUCUAUGAUGUCAACAUCAUGACCUUAAAGCAUACAUACUGCAUGCAGAAUGACAGAGAUGAACGUGAUACAUCGGGCACAUUAUGUCGUCUGUAGCGGCAACUCUAUCAACUUUCAGUGCCAUUAAACCAAGGACAAAGUGGACAUCUUCCUCGCUGAAGUCCAUUCACACACCAUAUAAAAGGAUAUAUGGUGUGUGUAAUGGCAUUUGAUAAGCACUAUAAACUGAUUAUCAGUGGCCUGGUCUGACCUUGCUGGCGUACCACUGGGUUCCAACACGCUGCACUUGUAUGAACUCGUACUGAACGACUGCUUUUUACUUAAAAGUAAGAAGAAACUUUAAAAGUUUGGUAAAAAAGAAAAAAAAAAUCAUGUUUACUGUUGCCCCAGUGACAAGUUGAGAGGUUAUCAAAUACGUUUAUAUCUUUUUCCAUACAUACUGUAUGAUCUGAGAGGUUUCUGUAUGGUGUGAAAUCCCUUUCUCAUUCUCUCUAUUCUCGGCUUAUUUUACUGUUGCAAGGGAUGUUUUUCGAGAGUGUGUUAUGGAAACAGCACGUAGCUCCCGCUGGCAUAAAAUUCACUUAAAACACAUCUGUUCCACAAUAAAAGAAGUAGUUACUUCAAAAUAUAGGCAGCAAAGCUUCGGGAGAGAUACACUGGCUAUUUUUUAAAUUGAAGAGAGGAGGGUGAAAGGAUUAAAAGUGAACCUUGCAUUUAGAUUUCCAAGGUCAAGGAUGAACUCUCAGACCUUCUCCUUUGAUCACGAUAAACACUGAGUAUGAGUCACUGUCUGUUCUUAUACCGCUGUCUUAUUGAAACCUGUAAUUUUCCAUGCAUUAUUGCUGAAACUAAUCUGUGAAAUCAUGGUGUUCAAACACAGAACAAAGAUGAAAUGUUUUUUGAAGAUAAUUGGCAAACCCUAAAAAGUAAACAGUAAGUGAAAUGUGAUUUUAAAAGUUUUUUAAUCAAAAGGAUAAUAUACGUUUUUGGAGUGGGGUUGUAUGAGGUACUUUCCUAUAGUAUAAAUGUACUGAAUUAGAAACAGGUAUAUUGCUUUUACAUGACUGAUGUCAUACAUCAAUUAGAUGAUUUAACUAGACGACUGUCCCAGCUUACAAGCACCAGACAAAAAUCUAAUUAUUGAUAGGAGCAUUUCUGUCUAUCAUAUCACUCCUACUUGACCUAUUAUAUUUCAAAACUGUCACCAAACAUGUUAGCAAAAGGCUAACGGGGAUGUAGGUUUAUUAAUGUCAAAGCAUUCUUGCUACUUUAAACUUCGUGUGAACCCGCAAAGGCCAGUUUCAGUCUGAUUGAGCUGUAUACAUGACAGAGAUAAUCAUCCCGCGACUACAUUAACUAGGUAUGUUAGUCUGUCUAUACGAAGCUCAAUUGCGAUUUCAGUCGGACAAACACUUUUUACACUUUUAUUAAAGGUCAAACAACAGCAUUGAUUUUUUUUUCUGUACAGAGAGUGACAUAUUUUAUUACUCAUCCAUUUGAUUAUGUUUAGACUAAGUGUUCUGCAGACAUUUGCAUAAUUAGAGGUGUGGAAGAUGGUUGACAGCUGGGUGUGUUGUUGCUAUUUUUGACAGGAAGCGCGUUGGUUCUACCUCUGAGUUCAGAUUGACUGAAAGUUGAGUCAGCAUUUUCAAUAUGAUAACCGCAAUUUCUAGGCUUUGUAGAACCUCUUUAAACUAGUAGAUAAAGCCAAUAAGAUGUCUGUGUUUUCAUAUUUUAUAGUGUUUGUGUUCCCAUAAAAGUUUCUGACCUCUGUGUUUUCCAAACCAGUAAAAUAAAUACUGGUUUUAGUUAUAAAAAGGUGUGCAUCAGUGCAGUGCCUGCAGAGUAGUAUACAGUUUGGAAAGGCAUGGGUAGGGGUCGAGCAUAUUGGGAAGAAAACACUUUGAUUGGGGUAAGUAAACACUUCUUUUGCAUUUGUGUCCAAAAACAAAUCCUUCACAACACUGAGACAGAGAUCAAAAGAUGAACAUUUCUAUCUAGAGUCAUUUUUGAUGAGGCUGAAUUUCAGCGAAACAAUACUCUGGUUUGAGACAUUUAUUAUUGAACAGCCAUGAUUCAUUGAUGAGUGAUGCAACACAUUGCAACAUCCUUUUAAACACAUAAAUAUUCAGUUACUCAAGUUGCACUUUUCCAAAGAACAUGCUGUUAUGAUGGGCUUUUACAACUCUCGAAAAUCACUUUUAAGGCACAAUAUGGAGAAUAGAAGACAUUUCAGUUUGACUCCUGGAAUCAAACUCUAACUCAGGUGCCAUGCCAGUUCAUCUGUGUGUCACAAAGUUUAAUCCAAAACGAACUAGCUACUGUCAGAAGCUUUGCACCAAAAAUGGCUGUCCCAUUUCACAUCGCAUGUGCGUGUUUCAUCUAUUCCUGCUGCUUCAUCCUGACACAGAAUCCAACUCCAGGCUGGAGAGGUGAGAGGAGGAGAGGAGAGGAGAGGGAUGAAGGAGGAGGGGAUAAAUGGAAGCAAUGUUUGAAAUUAUAAUUUAGCUCUCUCCACACAUGGCUUCUUCUUGCCUGCAGCUGCACAGUUUGCUAUUUGUUACUCCCUCUCUCCCUCUGUCACUCUUAUUACAGGGCUCUUAUGGUAAAUCCUGAAGGUAAAUCUCCGUCUAUUAAACCAGCCUCUUAAGCUCUCACUGAAACCCUGUGUAUGUGCUUGCUGUGUGUGUGUGUGUGUGUGUGUGUGUGUGUGUGUGUGUGUGUGUGUGUGUGUGUGUGUGUGUGUGUGUGUGUGUGUGCGCGCGCAUAUAGGAUACAUCUGUGUGUACGGCUGAGAGCUGAAUUUCAUCUGAGCAUGUCUUCACAGUUUAUUUUCUCCACGCCAACACUUGAGGGAAAACAUUCCCGAUAAGAGGCAUGGUCUUUAAAAAUUUUGAUUAUGCAUGUAGUUGGGGGCGGAGUGAACGAUCCCUGACAAGUUGAAAACUACUUGUGGUUUUUUUUUUCUAAACUGACAAAUAAAGAAAAAAAAGGAUAAGUGGAUUAAGAGCUUGUGAUCAUGGAGGGGGAGAGAGAAGAUGGGCAGAAUUAAUAUAUUUUGAAAUUCUGCUCGGAUUCACUUUUCUCAUGGAGUCAGGUUUGAAAAAAUAAGAGAGAUCUCACUUUCUUUUGAAGCCUGUCUGCAGCUGCAUCCUGGGUUAUCUGUGUAGCAUGUUUCUUGUCCAUCAACCAUUGACUGUAGGACAGAAAAGAGGAAGGAUCUAGACAGAACACAGUACAUUAAUUAUCUCCCCUCCAGCAGAAGGUCCCAUCAGGAUACAGAUGCAGUACUGUAGGGUCAUUGCUGCUGGAUGGACAGCUGGACACUAAGAUUGAUGUGCUUCUUUCUAUAUUCAGACAAGGUGCGAGGGGGCAUUUAGGGCACACAUUCUCUCCCUCUGUAACUCUGUCACAUGCACACUUUGCUUCAACAGCUCCAUUACUUUAAUGGUGACACAGCUCUGAGGAGGAUAAAGCACAAGGUGACGAGAGAGGCAAAGAGAGAGCUGUUAUUUUUUUCUACACCAAAGGGAGGAGACACAAGGUCAGUCCAUACCAUGUUAUUUCAUGUUCCCUCAGUUUCCAUUAAUGAGUGUAAUGGAGCUUAUCUGCACUUUAGGUUGCCUGUAUGAGAACUUAACAGGCUGUUCAUAAAGGGAACGAUACACACACACAGGGCCUCAAACUUGUAUCCUCUUCCACCCUCACAGCAUUUUAAGCAUUAAGAGCAAAAUCAUCAGCCUUCUUGCUGAUGGUCUCCUUUGCUUUUAAAGGUCAUAAAGAGACAUCAGUAUCAGUUUCUGUCUGUUUUUCAAUCAGUUAAAAACCCCUCACAGUGUCUUUACACGUCUCUUUUUUCAACUCUCCAGCUAUGAGCCAUUUUUACCCUUGUGUUUAUAUAUAAAGAUGAAGCCAUACUAAAUAAAAAAGGAUUUUAGAGCUUUAGGGAUGUAGGGGAUACAGAUGGGUUAUUGUCCGACAACAAGCCUGUGGGAGCCAUGACCAAUAAAAAGAGGCUUUAGCAGAUGUCCAGACAAAGAAGAGUAUCCAAGACUAGAUUUGUUCUUGAAUUGUCAUCGUUACAAUUUUGACACACAUUUUUAGCUGCAAGACGAGUUAGUAAAAGGAGAUAACAGCUUUUUCCAGGUUGUUCUCUGGAUCUAUGUUCAAGCUGCAACGAGGGACUUUAGACAUAUGUCAACUUUGGCGCCCCCUGUGGACAAAGCUGUCAGAGCUCAACUUGUCUUGCACAAGCUUAAACAGAGUCUUCUGACGUAGGAUCUAAGCCUGCUGACUUUUUAACAGUUAAAUGCAUCAUCUGUUGUAAAAACCUGGUUGUUUCCUGACCUGCCCAGCUGACAUCUGCCCACUCUCACCAGUUUCAGGUGUAAAAAAUUAUGACUAAAAAAUGUCAGUCUUGUUGCUGGUGGUCGUUUACUUUUAUUGAUCAUAAAAAGGCAUCAGUAAGAAUUUCAAUCCAUUUCACUGAAAAUAUCUUACCAUGGGAGCUUUCAUCAAGGUCUAACAAUUGUUUUUAUUUGUGCUUUUGUAUUCUGUCAAUCAUGCAUACAGCUCUUAAAUUGAUUUGGUAAUACUAGAGUUCCUACUUGCCAACAUUCGAUUGUGAAAAAGAGGUAGAUUUUCCGGGGUAGUGGAAAAUCAGCCUGUAUCUAAAAAACCCUAUCCAUAUACAACACUAAACUAUAAAUCAAAUGAAUAGACAUGUGAGAGAAACUAUUUCUAACUUCUCUUGCUCAUGCCUUUCACUGCAUAGUUGGGUUGCCUGGUUUUAUAACACAUGUCCAAUAUGGAGACUGAGAGACACCAGGCUGAUUGGUAUCAACAUGAAAUAUGUAGAUCACUGAACAAUAGACGGCUAUUGGAUGUGUACUUAUUUUUUUUUUUCAACCUUAUUUUAACCGUCUAGAUUCUGUAUAUUUUUAGAAGGAAUUUAGAUGUUGCACUUUAACCCAUUACUCGAUAAAUAUUUAUUUCAAAAAGCAACUGUGUGUUGCAUAACUGAU